UUUGGAAUAAUUUACAAAAUUUAAUUAUAUUUACUCUGUUACAAUAACAGUUAUCCAAAAACAAUUUUCUUGAGUCGUCUAGGGAUCUACAAUUCAAAAGAAAGUGAAAUUCAUCACCUAAUUCUUGACAUUGACAUAAAUUACAAUAUCUCAUUUCUCUAUCUAAACCUAUCCAUCUUCCAGUUUCAAUUGGUAAUCUAUGAUUACCAGUUCUAAAUCUACAAAAUGUAACCCUAUCUCUAUCUGGUAAUAUAUCUAAAUAUUUUUCGAAUUCAAACUUAUCCUUAUAUAAUCUAUAUGAUAAACCUUUUGACGAAUUACAUAUAUCUGAACGCCAGUUCUGUUGAAAUUGAUCAAAUAGCUUCUGUUUUAAACUAUUACUCAGCCAUUUUGUGCUAAAGCCAGUUUGUGCUAACCAGAUAUUACUAUAACCACAUGUAUCAAGAAUAUUUUUUAUAAACAUAACCCAUUCAGACUUACAAUUAUUCUGUGAAUAUUUUAAAAACAUAAAGUUAUACAAAAUGUGUGACAACUUAUUUUCUUUGCCGUGGACAAUUCUACACCAAUAAUUUACCAUACGUAGUUUAACAUAGACUACCAUGGGAUACACACCAAGUUCACCAUAUACCAUAAAGUUUGGAGUUGACUUCUUCAAGUUCAGUAGUAUCUUGCAAAAUUUCAAAUGUACUCUCUCUAUAAUAUCCAUAUUACUGAACCCCCAAAUUUCACACCCAUAAAGUAAAAUCGGCUUCACUAUCUUAUCGAACAAAUCAUACUGACAUCUCACCGAAAGGUUAUGAACUCUCCCCUUCUUAAGUACAUC
rnacentral:lncRNA from 1 species